UUCGCAAUGCCCGAAAGGGUGACGAAGCGACGCCGCGUGUGGGAAGAAGGCUCUAGGGUUGUAAACCACUGUCAGGAGUUAAGAAAUGUAAAGGUGUUAAUAGCGCCUUUAUUUGACGAAGGCUCCAGAGGAAGCCACGGCUAACUCCGUGCCAGCAGCCGCGGUAAUACAGAGGUGGCAAGCGUUGUUCGGAAUUAUUGGGCGUAAAGAGCACGUAGGCGGUCCUGCAAGUCUGUUGUGAAAUCCUUCCGCUUAACGGGAGAACGGCAGCUGAUACUACAGGACUAGAGUACGGGAGGGGAGAGUGGAACUUCUGGUGGAGCGGUGAAAUGCGUAGAUAUCAGAAGGAACGCCGGCGGCGAAAGCGACUCUCUGGCCCGAAACUGACGCUGAGUGUGCGAAAGCUAGGGGAGCAAACGGGAUUAGAUACCCCGGUAGUCCUAGCCGUAAACGAUGGGCACUAAGUAGAGGGGUUUU
rnacentral:rRNA from 1 species